rnacentral:rRNA from 1 species
UNAAGCAGGAUGUGAAAUCCCCGGGCUCAACCUGGGAACUGCGUUNUGAACUGGGUGACUAGAGUGUGUCAGAGGGAGGUAGAAUNCCACGUGUAGCAGUGAAAUGCGUAGAGAUGUGGAGGAAUACCGAUGGCGAAGGCAGCCUCCUGGGAUAACACUGACGUUCAUGCUNGAAAGCGUGGGUAGCAAACAGGAUUAGAUACCCUGGUAGUCCACGCCCUAAACGAUGUCAAUUAGCUGUUGGGCAACUUGAUUGCUUAGUAGCGUAGCUAACGCGUGAAAUUGACCGCCUGGGGAGUACGGUCGCAAGAUUAAAACUCAAAGGAAUUGACGGGGACCCGCACAAGCGGUGGAUGAUGUGGAUUAAUUCGAUGCAACGCGAAGAACCUUACCUGGUCUUGACAUGUACGGAAUCCUCCAGAGACGGAGGAGUGCCUUCGGGAGCCGUAACACAGGUGCUGCAUGGCUGUCGUCAGCUCGUGUCGUGAGAUGUUGGGUUAAGUCCCGCAACGAGCGCAACCCUUGUCAUUAGUUGCCAUCAUUUAGUUGGGCACUCUAAUGAGACUGCCGGUGACAAGCCGGAGGAAGGUGGGGAUGACGUCAAGUCCUCAUGGCCCUUAUGACCAGGGCUUCACACGUCAUACAAUGGUCGGUACAGAGGGUAGCCAAGCCGCGAGGUGGAGCCAAUCUCACAAAACCGAUCGUAGUCCGGAUUGCACUCUGCAACUCGAGUGCAUGAAGUCGGAAUCGCUAGUAAUCGCAGGUCAGCAUACUGCGGUGAAUACGUUCCCGGGUCUUGUACACACCGCCCGUCACACCAUGGGAGUGGGGGAUACCAGAAGUAGGUAGGGUAACCGCAAGGAGCCCGCU